GUAGGUGGCAAGCGUUGUCCGGAAUUAUUGGGCGUAAAGCGCGCGCAGGGCGGUCCUUUAAGUCUGAUGUGAAAGCCCACGGCUCAACCGUGGAGGGUCAUUGGAAACUGGGGGACUUGAGUACAGGAGAGGAAAGCGGAAUUCCAAGUGUAGCGGUGAAAUGCGUAGAGAUUUGGAGGAACACCAGUGGCGAAGGCGGCUUUCUGGUCUGUAACUGACGCUGAGGCGCGAAAGCGUGGGGAGCAAACAGGAUUAGAUACCCUGGUAGUCCACGCCGUAAACGAUGAGUGCUAAGUGUUAGGGGGUUUCCGCCCCUUAGUGCUGCAGCUAACGCAUUAAGCACUCCGCCUGGGGAGUACGGCCGCAAGGCUG
rnacentral:rRNA from 1 species